rnacentral:rRNA from 1 species
UACGGGGGGGGCGAGCGUUGUUCGGAAUUACUGGGCGUAAAGGGUUUGUAGGUGGCCUGCUAAGUCAGACGUGAAAUCCCUCAGCUUAACUGGGGAGCUGCGUCUGAUACUGGUGGGCUUGAGGACAGGAGAGGAACGCGGAAUUCCAGGUGUAGCGGUGAAAUGCGUAGAUAUCUGGAGGAACACCGGUGGCGAAGGCGGCGUUCUGGACUGUUUCUGACACUGAAAAACGAAAGCCAGGGGAGCAAACGGG